AUUUACCAGGUGGUCGCUUGGUGUCCUCCGUUGCAAUUGUUGCGUAAUCUCCAGCUGCAGUACUUUUCCAUUUGCUACUGAGGAGAAACCCAACUGCCACGAAGGAUUUAUCAUCGAAUAGAUAUGUGAAAAACACCUUGAGGAUGAUUCUAAACAACGUUUGCCAUGUUUCUGUCGAUAUUAUGGAGUUAAUUUGGAAAAAAGUUUGGCAUUGUAGUGAAUGAAUUUUCGUUGUUUGUUUUCUUAGCCAAAAGUGAUGAACAAAACGGAGCGAUUUCUCCUACACAAAUAAUCUUUUUGGAAAAAAUGAACAUUUGCUAUCUAACUGAGAGUCUCCUCAUUGAAAACAUCCGAAGUUCUUCAAAGGGAAUCAUUGACACGGCUGGCUAGCCUAUCUUCAAAGAAGCAUUUUCCAGAGGGAAUGGAAGUAGAAUAAACUCUGUAGUUCUGUUCAGGACUACAUGACAAGUCACUGGAUACUGGACGGAUACAGAGGAGAACAACAGUAGAAGAUGGGUGGGGACCCCUUUUGGACAAUCAGAGCCUUACAAGCAUGUCCCGCGAAAAGGCCCAACACCCUUUCCAAGAAGGCCUGAUUCCGACAGAAAUACACAAUGAACCAAGUCAUUUCACGUAAAUAUAUUCAUCGUUUCAUCGCAUAGCCGUACUCUUCCAUGACACCAUCACCCCCACUCCCCACUGACACAAGCUUAUGGAACCUGUUACAGUACAGUUAAAUUCAAAGAGUUUGUGCAAGUCCGAGGUCGUUAACAUGUUGUAAAAUCACAGCGACAGAGUGGUUCUUUGACAAUGGAACAAAUUUGGGGGCUUUUAGCUUUAAAAUGUUUUUUUUUGAAAAAAGGGAUUUUUGCAAAUGCAUCGUCUAGGAAGAAUUGGUCUGUAAGGCCGAUGCUUAACCAUCAGAUUUAUAUGGCGAGAAGAGGCAGGCAAGCAUGGCACUUAGUGACAUAAUGGAAGAUAACAUUUUCCCUCCAUUUUUAAGCCAUUUGAAAUAUUAGGCCCUAAUGGCACUUUAAAAUGUUUUUUUUUUCUUCACACUUCAAAUAUGAGUCUUAUCAAUGGAAUAAACAUAACUGCAAUUGGUUUGAAAUGCACUUUACAUUAAGUGUGCUUUCUUUGUAUGGGAUACCAUCUCAUGCCUAUCAUUUUACAAGUCUGCAAAACUCAAACGGAACUCUUAUGUCUCUUAAUGGGCAGUGAGUGCUUUACGAUGAUAUCCUAGUGGAGUGCACUAAGUACCUAUCAGUUUAAAGCUUGGCACACACAAUUGGAAAUGAUAAGGAGACGAG
ensembl:lncRNA